ACUCCUACGGGAGGCAGCAGUGGGGAAUCUUGGACAAUGGGCGCAAGCCUGAUCCAGCCAUGCCGCGUGAGUGAUGAAGGCCCUAGGGUCGUAAAGCUCUUUCGCCAGAGAUGAUAAUGACAGUAUCUGGUAAAGAAACCCGGCUAACUCCGUGCCAGCAGCCGCGGUAAUACGGAGGGGGUUAGCGUUGUUCGGAAUUACUGGGCGUAAAGCGUACGUAGGCGGAUUAGUUAGUCAGAGGUGAAAUCCCAGGGGCUCAACCCUGGAACUGCCUUUGAUACUGCUAGUCUUGAGUUCGAGAGAGGUGAGUGGAAUUCCGAGUGUAGAGGUGAAAUUCGUAGAUAUUCGGAGGAACACCAGUGGCGAAGGCGGCUCACUGGCUCGAUACUGACGCUGAGGUACGAAAGUGUGGGGAGCAAACAGGAUUAGAUACCCUGGUAGGAUAGCG
rnacentral:rRNA from 1 species